rnacentral:rRNA from 1 species
UAGUCAUAUGCUUGUUUAAAAGAUUAAGCCAUGCAAGUCUAAGUAUAAAUCUUCAAUACGAUGAAACUGCGAAUAGCUCAUUAGAACACUUAUGAACAACACGGAAGUGACACCAAAUGGAUAUCCAUGGUAAUUCUGGAGUUAAUACAUGCGUAAUACCUUAUUUAAUGAGGUACGUCCCAUGCAAACACUUCGUCCAGGCUCGCGUCUGGUAAACUGAUCUGCGUGGUUUACAAAAUCGCUUUAGCGAUCGACCGUAUUAGUUUGUGACCUAUCAGCUUAGUCGGUAAGGUAUUGGCUUACCGAGGCGAUAACGGGUAACGGGGAAUUGGGGUUCGAUUCCGGAGAGGGAGCCUGAGAAACGGCUACCACAUCUAAGGGUGGCAGCAGGCGCGCAAAUUACCCAAUCCCAAUACGGGGAGGUAGUGACCAAAAAUAAUAGCACGGGCAAUUGCUUCGUGACUGUAAUGGGUUCAAUUCACAACUAUGUUCGAGUAUCAAUU